rnacentral:piRNA from 1 species
UAUGUCCAUUAGAAGAAUUCU